rnacentral:lncRNA from 1 species
AUUUUCUCUCUAAAGCAGAGUUCAUUUGCUGAGAAUGAUGGAGAAAAUCAGCAUCUAGCUAAUCAGCUGACCUUGAGAUGCAGAGAUUAUCUGGAAUUAUCCAGAUUGGUCCAUUUAAUUACAUGAGUCCUUAAAAGUGGAAAGUGGAAGAAGAGGCAGAAGAGUGUGUCAGAGAGAUGCUGUGUGAAAAGGACUCAACCUGCCACUUGAGGCUUUGAGGCUGGAGAAAGGGGCCAUGAACCAAGGAUUGUGAGCAGCCUGUAAAACCUGGAAAAGACAAGGCAAUACCCUUUGCUGUCUCAGGGUCAAACAUGCAACUCCUGCCUGCUUGUAUGGCCAGCUGGGUUCAAGAAGGAAGGAACCUCAUUGUUGACAGUUA